GGGUCAGUACGUUGGUCGUGCCACCGGUACGUACUGGUCUCACUGAUUCCUCCUUCCUGAAGAACCGUAAUGCCAUUAAUUUGGUGUUGCGGGGAAACAGGACUGUUACUUUGAAAAAAUUAGAGUGUUUAAAGCAAGCUAACGCUUGAAUACAUCAGCAUGGAAUAAUGAAAUAGGACGAUCGAUCCUAUUUUGUUGGUUUCUAGGAUUGACGUA
rnacentral:rRNA from 1 species